GCUAGUUGGUGGGGUAAAGGCUUACCAAGGCAAUGAUGCGUAGCCGAACUGAGAGGUUGAUCGGCCACAUUGGGACUGAGACACGGCCCAAACUCCUACGGGAGGCAGCAGUAGGGAAUCUUCCACAAUGGGCGAAAGCCUGAUGGAGCAACGCCGCGUGGGUGAAGAAGGUCUUCGGAUCGUAAAACCCUGUUGUUAGAGAAGAAAGUGCGUGAGAGUAACUGUUCACGUUUCGACGGUAUCUAACCAGAAAGCCACGGCUAACUACGUGCCAGCAGCCGCGGUAAUACGUAGGUGGCAAGCGUUAUCCGGAUUUAUUGGGCGUAAAGGGAACGCAGGCGGUCUUUUAAGUCUGAUGUGAAAGCCUUCGGCUUAACCGGAGUAGUGCAUUGGAAACUGGGAGACUUGAGUGCAGAAGAGGAGAGUGGAACUCCAUGUGUAGCGGUGAAAUGCGUAGAUAUAUGGAAGAACACCAGUGGCGAAAGCGGCUCUCUGGUCUGUAACUGACGCUGAGGUUCGAAAGCGUGGGUAGCAAACAGGAUUAGAUACCCUGGUAGUCCACGCCGUAAACGAUGAAUGCUAAGUGUUGGAGGGUUUCCGCCCUUCA
rnacentral:rRNA from 1 species